GACGAACGCUGGCGGCGUGCUUAACACAUGCAGGUCGAACGGAAAGGCCCUGCUUUUGUGGGGUGCUCGAGUGGCGAACGGGUGAGUAACACGUGAGUAACCUGCCCUUGACUUUGGGAUAACUUCAGGAAACUGGGGCUAAUACCGGAUAGGAGCUCCUGCUGCAUGGUGGGGGUUGGAAAGUUUCGGCGGUGGGGGAUGGACUCGCGGCUUAUCAGCUUGUUGGUGGGGUAGUGGAUUACCAAGGCUUUGACGGGUAGCCGGCCUGGGAGGGUGACCGGCGACAUUGGGACUGAGAUACGGCCCAGACGCCUACGGGAGGCAGCGGUGGGGAGUAUUGCGCAAUGGGCGGAAGCCUGAGGCAGCAACGCCGCGUGCGGGAUGACGGCCUUCGGGUUGUAAACCGCUUUCGCCUGAGACGAAGCGUGAGUGACGGUAAUGGGUAAAGAAGCACCGGCUAACUACGUG
rnacentral:rRNA from 1 species